rnacentral:rRNA from 1 species
UAGGGAAUCUUCGGCAAUGGGGGGAACCCUGACCGAGCAACGCCGCGUGAGUGAAGAAGGUUUUCGGAUCGUAAAGCUCUGUUGUUAAGGAAGAACGAGUGUGAGAAUGGAAAGUUCAUGCUGUGACGGUACUUAACCAGAAAGGGACGGCUAACUACGUGCCAGCAGCCGCGGUAAUACGUAGGUCCCGAGCGUUGUCUGAAUUUAUUGGGCGUAAAGCGAGCGCAGGCGGUUAGAAAAGUCUGAAGUGAAAGGCAGUGGCUCAACCAUUGUAGGCUUUGGAAACUGUGUAACUUGAGUGCAGAAGGGGAGAGUGGAAUUCCAUGUGUAGCGGUGAAAUGCGUAGAUAUAUGGAGGAACACCGGUGGCGAAAGCGGCUAUCUGGUCUGUAACUGACGCUGAGGCUCGAAAGCGUGGGGAGCGAACAGG